AGAGUUUGAUGGUGGCUCAGAACGAACGCUGGCGGCAGGCCUAACACAUGCAAGUCGAACGCACUCUUCGGAGUGAGUGGCAGACGGGUGAGUAACGCGUGGGAAUCUACCUAGUGGUGGGGGAUAACUUCGGGAAACCGGAGCUAAUACCCCAUAAGCCCUUCGGGGGAAAGUUUUUCGCCAUUAGAUGAGCCCGCGUUAGAUUAGCUAGUUGGUAGGGUAAUGGCCUACCAAGGCGACGAUCUAUAGCUGGUCUGAGAGGAUGAUCAGCCACACUGGGACUGAGACACGGCCCAGACUCCUACGGGAGGCAGCAGUGGGGAAUAUCGCACAAUGGGCGCAAGCCUGAUGCAGCCAUGCCGCGUGUGUGAUGAAGGCCUUAGGGUUGUAAAACACUUUCAUCGGUGAAGAUAAUGACGGUAGCCGAAGAAGAAGCCCCGGCUAACUCCGUGCCAGCAGCCGCGGUAAUACGGAGGGGGCAAGCGUUGUUCGGAAUUACUGGGCGUAAAGCGCACGUAGGCGGACUGGUCAGCUGGGGGUGAAAUCCCGAGGCUUAACCUCGGAACUGCCUUCAAUACUGCCAGUCUUGAGAUCGGAAGAGGUGAGUGGAAUUCCUAGUGUAGAGGUGAAAUUCGUAGAUAUUAGGAAGAACACCAGUGGCGAAGGCGGCUCACUGGUCCGAUACUGACGCUGAGGUGCAAAAGCGUGGGGGAGCGAACAGGAUUAGAUACCCUG
rnacentral:rRNA from 1 species